AAAAAUAACAAAGACCCUAACAAAUAGAGUUUCCAAAUUGCAUUUUCAGCUCCUUCUUCACUGAAAAUGUUCUGUCUUGUGCCCACUAACAGUGACCUUCGCUUCUUUAUCCUCUGGGCGAUUAACAUUUUCCGCUGAAGGUUGUUGUACCUUCUUUUCAUUUCUUUGUUGAUUCACCUCAUUCUGCAGUUUCAAUACCCUCUCUGGAGCUAGAUCGAAAGUAUGAACCUUGUACAGGUUUGUCGAUCUCAUGAAAGAAAGAAGAAAACAAAAGGAAAGCAUAUUGAGACCAGACGAAAAUUACCAUAGACAGAAAAUGCAAGGGUGUGCAACUAUCCCUUGCCUCAAUAAUGUUCGCUCCUCGGGGACAACUAAAUUUCAAAGAGGCGCUGACUGGGGAGGUGUUGAAUGAACAGUGUACUGGUCUGUCUCAUUUACGGAAAAAAGAUCUAUGGUGACGCCUAUUUGGGAUUUACAAGUGAAACAUCAGUUUCCUAAAGCUCCAUAUAAUCAUAUUAGUUCAGCUGCUCACCGCCCCCAUGAUGAAGUCCCAGAGAUACGCCAUUUUGCUUAGCUACACAUAUGCUUUUGACAUUCGAUCUUGUCCGUAUAUGUGCUUUCUCAUUGCUACCAUCUCUUCACUUUGUGUUCAAACUAUGUACACAUAUGCAAAAAAGUUUAAACAUGAUAUAGGAGGACCUCUUUAUUAGAGCUUUCAAUACUUUUUCCUUAAUAUACAAAGGCUGUUAGGAUUUGUCCAAUUUUUAUUUUGGUGAAGUUGAUUCUUUUAACAAGAAGAUAUCUCUCAUUUCAAGUU